rnacentral:rRNA from 1 species
CAGUCGCCGCGGUAAUACGAGGGGGGCAAGCGUUGUUCGGAAUUAUUGGGCGUAAAGGGUGCGUAGGCGGUUUGGCAAGUUUGGUGUGAAAUCUUCGGACUCAACUCGAAGUCUGCAUCGAAAACUGCCGGGCUUGAGUAUGGGAGAGGUGAGUGGAAUUUCCGGUGUAGCGGUGAAAUGCGUAGAUAUCGGAAGGAACACCUGUGGCGAAAGCGGCUCACUGGACCAUAACUGACGCUGAUGCACGAAAGCUAGGGGAGCAAACAGGAUUAGAUACCCCGGUAGUCCCUGUCUCUUAUAC